AGAGUUUGAUCAUGGCUCAGGACGAACGCUGGCGGCGUGCCUAAAACAUGCAAGUCGAACGGGGUAGCAAUACCUAGUGGCGAACGGCGGAGUAAUACGUGAACAACGUGCCUUGAAGACUGGGAUAGCCAGGGGAAACCCUGAGUAAUACCGGAUGUGGCAACUUGGAGACAUCUUCGAGUUACUAAAUGGUUUUUCGCUUUAAGAGCGGUUCACGACCUAUCAGCUAGUUGGUGAGGUAACGGCCCACCAAGGCGACGACGGGUAGGGGGUCUGAGAGGAUGAUCCCCCCGAGUGGGACUGAGACACGGCCCACACACCUACGGGUGGCAGCAGUUGGGAAUCUUGCACAAUGGGGGAAACCCUGAUGCAGCGACGCCGCGUGGAGGAUGAAGGGUCUAGGCUCGUAAACUCCUUUUUUCGGGAAAGACUUAGGACGGUACCCGAAGAAUAAGCACCGGCUAACUACGUGCCAGCAGCCGCGGUAAGACGUAGGGUGCAAGCGUUGUCCGGAUUUACUGGGCGUAAAGAGCGCGUAGGCGGUCCAUUAAGUGUGAAGCUAAAUCUCCCGGCUUAACCGGGAAACUAUUUCGCAUACUGAUGGGCUGGAGUGAUGCAGAGGUGGAUAGAAUUCCCGGUGUAGCGGUGAAAUGCGUUGAUAUCGGGAGGAAUACCCGUGGCGAAGGCGGUCCACUGGGCAUCAACUGACGCUGAGGCGCGAAAGCGUGGGUAGCAAACAGGAUUAGAUACCCUAGUAGUCC
rnacentral:rRNA from 1 species